UUUUGUUCUUUUUUUUUUUUUGUCUUUUUCCUUUUUGAAAGACAUUUUCACCCAUCUAAAAUUUAAUUUACCUUUUGGUUUAUCAUUCUUUUGUCUACUAGUAUCCAUUGUUGUUACUGAGAAGUCAUCUCAAAAAGUCUGACUGCCAUGCCGUUAAAGGCUAUAAAACACAACAAAAGAAAACAAAACGGUGAGAACAAUAUUGGAUUUCAAAAGCAAGAUAGAAGGAAAUCCUCCAGUUACUAUAUUGCAUACUGUUAUGUGCUAAGCAGAAGCUUAGACUACCGGCCCCAGGCCUGCAAGGUCAAUCAGUCAGUACAAGCAUUACAUUGUUUUUGUACCUCAGUUGCUAUCAUCCCAGCCUGUGUUCCUCUAAAUCUACCAGCUGGCUCACAGGAAGGCCACUUCUUGGUUCUUUUCUUGGCCCGUGGCUGCUUCUGGUUCACUGGAUAUGCUAAUAUUGACUGGAGAAAUUUUUAUGCCCAUAUCUUGUACCUUGAACAACUGCUUCAAAGAUUACAACAUGUAAUGUAUUAACUAUUGUUUUUCUCCUAUCAUUUUGUUAUGAAACUUUGUUUUACCUUUUUUCCAUUAAGAAAACAUAGGGUACUAUAGGUAAAUGUGAUGCUAGGAGAUGGGGUCUUGUCACAAAAUGGGGUCACUGGGGGUCUGACCUGGGACAGUUCCUCUCUGCCCAUCUCCCAGCUUUUCUCUCUGCUUCCUCUGCACCACAGUGUGAGCCACCUCCCUCCGCCUAGCCUGUCUACCUUGCUUCUAAACAUAUAAGGACUGAAACUUCUGAGACAAAUCCCAAUGAAUUUCUCCUCCUUUAGGUUGUGGUGUUAGGUAUUUUGCCUCAUCAAUGAUGAAAAUAACUGAGAUACAUCUUUACUUUGAAAACAUUAAAAUGCUAGUGAAACAAAUUAAAAAAAACAUGAACACUUGGAGAGAUAACCCGUGUUCAUGGGUUAGAAGAAUCAAUAUUUUUUGAACAACCGUACCGUCCAAAGUGAUCUACAAAUUAAGUGCAAUCCUUAUCAAAUGGGUAAUGAUUUUGUCACAAAGAUAAGAAAAAGGAUCUCAAAAUUGCAUGAAACCAUGGAAACUCCAAAUAGUUAAAGCAAUGCUGAGUGACAGGAACAAACAGGCACCAAAUGUUGCUAAUUCCAAGAUCUACAACAAAGACAUAAUCCAGACAGAAUGGCACCAGCAUAAAAAGACACAGAGACCAAGGGAACAGAAGAGAGAGCGCAGAAAUAAAUCCACCCACUUAUAGUCACCUGGUUUUCAAUAGUUUCCAACAAGUCACCUUGCAGAAAUCUUCAAUACUUGAUGUUGAGAAAACUUGAUAUCUACAUGCAGAAGAACAACACUGAACCCUUAUGUCAUGAAUUCAGAAUGGAGAGACUUGAAAUCUUAAAACAAUUAGGAGAAAAUAUAGAGGAAAUGCUAUUUGACAUUUGUUUGGUGAGUUUUUAAUGGAAAUAAUAACAAAGACACAGGCACCAAAAGCAAAACACAGGCAAAUGGGGUGGCGUCAAACAAAAAUGCUUCCUGUCUAGCAAAAGAAGCAAUGUACACAGUCAAGAGCCAUCUGUGGAAUGGGAGAAACUCUCUGUACUCUGUGUAUCUGAUAAGGCAUUAAUAUCCCAGAUCUGUAAGGACUUCAGAUAACUCACUAGCAUGAAAAUAACUCUGUUAGUGAACUGAAAGGACAAAUAACUGGAAUAGAUAUUUUUAGAAGGCUUAUAACCUGGAAAUGUAGCUUAGUGAUAGAGGGAAGCCCUGACUUCAGUUCCCAGCACCAAGAAGGAGGAAGAAGAAGUGAAGGAGAAGUAGGAGGAGGAGGAAAAGGAGGGGGAUGAAGAGAAGGAGAAGUACAAAUGGUCAACACUUAAAAAUAUAUUCACUAUCAAGAACCAAUAGGGAAAUAAAAGUAAAACCACUGUGGUUUCCCUGCGCACCUGCACACUGUUGGAAAGAUUUGAGAUGAGUUGUUGGUGAGGAUGUGGCAAAA